rnacentral:rRNA from 1 species
UGAGGAAUAUUGGGCAAUGCCCGCAAGGGUGACCCAGCAACGCCGCGUGGAGGAUGAAGGCCGUAAGGUUGUAAACUCCUUUUGAAGGGGACGAAAAAACAGAUAGUCUCUGUAUUGACUGUACCCUUAGAAGAAGCCCCGGCUAACUACGUGCCAGCAGCCGCGGUAAUACGUAGGGGGCAAGCGUUGUCCGGAUUUACUGGGUGUAAAGGGCGCGUAGGCGGGUUUGUUAGUCAGAGGUGAAAUCCUGCAGCUUAACUGUAGAACUGCCUCUGAUACUGCAAAUCUUGAGUUCAGAAGAGAGAAGCGGAAUUCCAGGUGUAGUGGUGAAAUACGUAGAUAUCUGGAAGAACACCAGUGGCGAAGGCGGCUUCUUGGUCUGUAACUGACGCUGAGGCGCGAAAGCGUGGGGAGCAAACAGG